CUCGUGCAGUUUGCAGCAAGCUCUCGAAUCCGCCUGGUGAUUGGGGUGACCGCGAACCUGGCCUGAGACCCCGGAUACUUGAGUUUUCGGGGGUCUAACAUUUUGGGGGCUCGUCCGCGAUUUGCGACCACCCUUCACCUGAGUGGAUUCGAUCUUGGAGAUGCGCCAGAGGACAGACUGCCACUCUGAGGACACCCAGGACCCAGGAGUUUAUAAUGUCAGACAGACCGCCAGAUCCGGACAGUGACCCAAAGUCUCCAAAGAAGAUUACGAGGCACCUUAGUUCCUGCACCUGGACCAGUGAGCGAGAUGCUCAGAUGUGAAACCUGCCGCCUGCCAGAACCUGGCCAAGAAUGUGGACAAAGCUGCUGGACACUGGAAAAUUGAUUGUACCCCUUUGCCUAGACAAAACAAGGUCAGUCUUUUCCAUGUCCCUCUUCCACAGAGAGGAAAAAAACCUCUCACAGUAUAGGCCUGGUGGAGAUUACUGUUCUUUGAGACAGCUGCCUCCAACGAUAAUGGAGAAACUUGGGUUUGGCUAACUGUAUAUGGACUUGCUUCUGACUGGCUUCUGUCACUUUUUAGUAGAUUUGGAUAAAGUAUACCCUUCUCAGAUCUCUGAAAUAUUACUGGUUGUCAGCUUGACAGCAUCAGUCAGUCAGAUCCACUAUAGACUAGUCAGUAUGUUAGCUGAUAAAAUAGUAACUAUCUACUGUUCAGGCACGAGUUCAAGGUUUUUAAGUUUAUUUUGGUUGUCAUCUAAGUACAAACUUAAAGGGCUUUUCAUCAGGCCAAAGGCACCUCUGUCCAAUCCAUACCUGGCACUCUGGACAGAAGCUAUACAUGCUUAUAGCCCAAAUCUGCAGUUUUUGCUAGGACUCAAAGUUAUAAAUAUGUUCUUGCUGUUUAAACAGAUAUCUGCUUUUUCUACACUGUGGGCUUCAGUAAAUAAGCUUUAACCUCUGUUCCUAGUUUAAACAUGUCUUAAACAGGUUUCUGCUUCUGGCAGACAUCUAAAUAUCAGUUGCUGACUACAGACUGUUCUAAGACUGCGAGCCCUAGACUUGCUGUGGAUGUGAACCAGUUCAGCUGAUAUGGACACCCCCUGUCUCUACAACAGUGUCUGCUACCCAGAAGCCCCUGAUGAAUUCCCCAUUGCCUAAAUCCCUUUUUGCUUUUGACUAGCAUUUCAACCUUCUGGGGUCCCUAACUUCGUCCCAAAGUCAGCAGGAAGCAGUUUAGAAAAGAAUUUCGGCGUCCAUUUUCCCUGGUUAAAAUGCUAAGUCAAAAGGAACUCCCUUACAUGGGGAUGCCAAUAUCUAUCACUCCCUGAUGGGGAUGCUAGAGAGACAGCAAUUCCAUGAUUGGAAUUUCCAGAAAAGAAAAUGGGGGAAUGAAGGAACCGGCUUCCCUUUUGGCAGCCAUAAUGGUUGAACAUGUGC
rnacentral:lncRNA from 1 species